rnacentral:rRNA from 1 species
UGAGGAAUAUUAGUCAAUGGGCGGAAGCCUGAACCAGCCAAGUAGCGUGCAGGAAGACGGCCCUAUGGGUUGUAAACUGCUUUCAGUCGGGAAUAAUUCGUCGGUCGUGACCGACGUUGCAGGUACCGUCAUAAGAAGGACCGGCUAAUUCCGUGCCAGCAGCCGCGGUAAUACGGAAGGUCCGGGCGUUAUCCGGAUUUAUUGGGUUUAAAGGGAGCGUAGGCCGGAGAUUAAGCGUGUUGUGAAAUGCCGCGGCUCAACCGUGGCACUGCAGCGCGAACUGGUUUUCUUGAGUGCGCGCGACGCAGGCGGAAUUCGUGGUGUAGCGGUGAAAUGCUUAGAUAUCACGAGGAACCCCGAUUGCGAAGGCAGCUUGCGGGAGCGCAACUGACGCUGAAGCUCGAAGGUGCGGGUAUCGAACAGGAUUAGAUACCCUGGUAGU